UACGUAGGGUGCAAGCGUUGUCCGGAAUUAUUGGGCGUAAAGAGCUCGUAGGCGGUCUGUUGCGUCGGCUGUGAAAACCCGGGGCUCAACCCCGGGCCUGCAGCCGAUACGGGCAGACUAGAGUUCGGCAGGGGAGACUGGAAUUCCUGGUGUAGCGGUGAAAUGCGCAGAUAUCAGGAGGAACACCGGUGGCGAAGGCAGCGCUCUGGUCGGCAUCUGACGCUGAGAGGCGAAAGCGUGGGGAGCGAACGGG
rnacentral:rRNA from 1 species